UGUCCGGGUCCGUACCCCCCGAGAACUUAGGUGGAUCCUGUCUCCUAAAAUCAUUCAGGCCUCUGUUCUGAUCCAUUGUCACUUCCCUCUGGCGUUGGUGCUGAUCACGUGCCUCCUCAGCAGCACGCCUCAUAGCAUUAUCGUUUGCCUGUGCAGUCACAGCUUGGGCCAUAGUGGCCAUCAUCUCAGCUAGUUGGUUAGCGUUCACCAUGUUCUGCUAAAUUAACAAACAGUUAGUGCUCAUCAUAAGAUAGCAUCCAAUAUAACUAUGCAAUAUGAUUAAGCAAUAACUUCAAACAAUUCUAAGCGAAAAAUCGCUUGGCAGACAAUCAAUUUUUACUCUUUGCAGAGUCACACAACCUAGCACAGAAGACCUAUUCCCCAAAGACUCCCGAAAGACUCGACUAAGCUCUGAUACCACAAAUGUAACACCCCGAUUUCGGUGGCGUCACUUUAGUAACCAAAAGAAAAUACUUUAAGCGGAAAAACGUGAAUUAUUUUUUUUUCGACAAUAUAACUAAAGACAGAAAGCAAUAAAACUCCCCAACAAAAGAUAAAAGGAACUACUAUACAACUAUAUAUACAUGCCUCGUGUCGGGUGACAGAAAAGAGUAACGCCCGAAGGCAAUAUGUACAGUCCAAAAUAAAGACACUGUGUCCGCAACACUAACCUACAAAAACUGAGAGCAAGUUGGCCCAGCGGCCUAAGAAAGGACCCCCUAAAUCCAACCAGCUCUCUGCGAUCUCCAUAGGAAACCACACAAAAGCUACCGGUAGGAAAACUACCCUGUCCCCAAAAACGGAAGCAUGACGGUCAGAGCAUCGACACAACUCCUACACUAUCCCUACCCGAGGAGCCCACACUAGCACUCGAUCCUACAUGCUAGCGCGGUCGUCAUCCGAAUCUGCAUCCAGGACGACUAGGUCGGCGUACUCAACACUGCCCUCUCUGUCCACCCUAAUGCGCUCCCGCACUGGACUCUCGGGCUCAGGGCCCGGGACGAGAUCCGCGACGACAGCAGCAGCAGUAGACGGACUAGACUCCGUCGAAGCCCCACCUACUGGCAACUCCUCAGAAGGAUCCUCAUCAUCUGAAGGAGAUGGUGGCGGUGGAGGUACUCCCAAGCCGGGUCCACAGUGUACUCCUGGAGGCAGGUUGAAGCUCACUAUGUGCCUCCUCAUCACUCCCUCCGUCAAGCGUCCGAAUCGAUCGACACGGUCCUCCAUGAUCCGACCGGUGUAGGUCGCACGGUGGCCCUCGGGAUCGACCACCCAUGCACCUGGGUCGUCUUGGUCAAGCAUCUCGUACCUGGUCCCCCCUGACGGGCUGACCAUGGUAAACCAAUCCCCCAUACUCAUCUGACAAAUGGCGUAGUCCGCCCAAACACACACAGCAGACGCGAGGGUCAACUCCAAAGAAUUAUAUAAUUAAUAAAGCCAGAUAUAAUUAUAGGAUAAUAUAUACUCGCCUCUCAGGCUUAUAAGUUUUGGAGUAGCUUCCUAGGGUUGCAUGUAUCACAAUAAAUAUAAAGAGCCACGAAAACAAGUAGCAUGCCUCAAACAAAUAGGAUAAACAGUUACCAAUCACACUCAGCAACUAAGUUAGCAUGUAUGUUGCAUGAAAUGCAAUGCUGGGUAACAAAAUGCAUUCCGGAAGAAGGAUGGACAUCAACGAGACGGCCCUAACACCAGCCACGGUGGGUACCUUCCUGCUCGCGUGUCUCUUACACCACACAAAAGUAGUCAGAUCAGCAGUGAACCCGUAGGUCUGCCAUUCCGUCUGCUACUGAGGACCACCGUAGUGUCCUAAAUAUGGAAAUCCGGGUCUUAUGACCAUUUUGGAAUCCACCGAGGUCCGGUAUCACGCCGUGUAUUAACCUCAAAAUGAGUGCAUGAAUGCAAGUGAUUAGCCAAACAACGUCUCCGACCUCACCCGACACGUCGCCACGUGUUCUAAAUUAACUUAAAGUCUCUAAAAGAAUACCCUAAGGUAAAUGUCGAUUCUGCGACAAAAUACAAUUAAUCAUAAACAAAAGAGUGCAGCCACUCACGACAACUCUUCGAGUCAUCAAUGCUCUCACGAAGUCUCACGCUUCUGUGGAGUCUCACACAUUCACAAAGUCUCACGCUUCAGUGAAGUUUUAUGCUUUCACAAGGUCUCACGCCUCAGUGAAUUUACACACUUGCACGAAGUCUCACGCUUCAAUGAAGUUUCAUGCUGUUCACGAGGUCUCACGCCUCAGUGAAGAUCCAUGCUUUCCACAAGGUCUCACGCCUCAGUGGAGUAUCACGCAUUCACAAGGUCUCACACCUCCGUGAAGCUUCUCGGCUCAUCCCUUGGAUGGCUAAACAACUGCUCCCAGAGCGAAUGAGUAUUAACAUACCCAAAACUCGAAAUCUUCCCAACACUUGGAUCCGACGACACUUCUCGUUUUCCAAAACUAAACUUCAAUCCAAAGCUUGCAUCCGAGAUUGUUAUCUUUAUUUAAAGGUUUAGAGGUUGUUUAAUAUCUUAUGAAUUUCUUUAUAAAAAUAGCUCUUUUUGUCUUAUCGUAUUCCCUAUGAGUUUCAAAGUUCCCAUAAACCCAAGUAAUUCCUUGAGAAGGUCUCGAUCCAUUGGAGCAUGACAAGGUCCGAACUCCGUUCGUCCUUUUACAACUCUCUCAAAAUCUCAUAAAAAUUCGGCAUGACCUGCCCGCAAUCCUCACUUUUCAGAAUCUCAGGUACAAGUGUAAUAGCAUCAUUGAAACAGCUCAACCAAAAGACAUAAACAGCAUAUUCCAACACAUCCUAAGUUAACCAUGUAGCACAUAGCAUGUGAAUCAUUUAGCACACAAUAUCAUGGCAUCAAGUACUCAACAAGUUCGGCCGAAGCCUCAGAAAUCAUUUCAGACAUUUAGCAAUUAGGUGCAUAACACAUAAAUCAAGUCGAAUUUCAUCGACACCUAAAGCAUUAUCUAGUAAUUCAGAGAGUAGCCCUCACCGGUGGGUCUUCCAGCUUCCUCCUCCAAAUGUUCUUCAAGCUCUUCUCCUUGGUUUCUUGGAAUCUCCUCAAACGAACCUUAAGCAAAAAUCACAGAAAUCAACACCAAGAGUCAGAAACUCAGCAAUCAAAGAGUCCUAGGGUUACACAGUACACUACUACCUCCGUGAUACCAUGGAAAGAGGCAAAGAUUCGUGCUUGCUACUGGUAGAGACCCUGCUUUGGUGAACAAGGCAUGUGAUUGCUUAAAAAACCAUUACUUGGUUCCACCAAACUGGGGGAAAGAUGAGAACAAGGGCAUGAUCAGCGGUGAAGAUGGACGCUGGGUGCAGCCUGAACGACAACAACUUGACGAUCACCCUGAAGAUAUGCUUCACCAUUUAAGGGAACUAGGUCUGACUUCAUCUGAUGAUGAUUUUUGAUUAUUCAGUUGCUAAACAGAGAGAUAGUGGAACUGGAUUUACUGGAAACUUUGUGGCAAGGUCAUAAAUGUGAAUAAGGUUUGGACCGUUGUAUCAAGUUGAUACAUGGUCGGCAGGAUUCAUCGUGGCCAUCACGAAAAUUAGUGUGGUAACGCAGUAAUGACCUAGCUAGUCACCUUAGGAUCAACUCUGUGAUUUGCUCCACCAAUCAUGCAUAUGUUAGAAAAUAGAGUAGAUGAUAGUGAAGGUAUGAAAAACGGUAGAAAGGGGGGGUUUGAAUAACGUUUUCAGUAUAAAACUUCCACCUUAAAGAUUUUGACAAAUCUUUCGAGAA